AAAGAAAAAAAGAGAAGAAGAAGAAGAAGAAGAAGAAGAAGAAGAAGAAGAAGAAAGGAAGAGGCGGAGGAAGAGGAAGAGGAGGGUCCACACAGUCCCAGAAGUUACUUGAAUGGAGAAGCAACUCUGAGACAGUUCAGGAUCAUUGGAAGAGUCAUCCACGGUGUGCUGCCAUUUCUAAUGAGCUAGGAACGCAGUCUUUAAAGCUCCAGUUAACGUGUGUGCAGAUGGGAGCUUGGGGGACCAUUUCUCUAAAUGAUGCUCUCCAUGAAUAACCAUCACCCCUCAUAUCUGGCAGGGAGGGGCCCCUUCUGUGUCCUAAUGUGGGAGUUCCUCAUCCUGCAUAGACUCAGAGUCCCUGGUGCGCCAAGGGGAAGCAAAUUAGUUUCACUUACAAUUAGGUGUCUCAAAGAAAGGUUUGAUUUCGAUUUAAUAAGAAAAAAGAUUCCAAGUUAAACAGAUCACAACUGAUUAUUAAGACCAGAAUUACUAAAGUUGCCACCAAUGCCUAUCUUAUUUCCAAGUUGCUAAACCUCAAUAAAUGCCAUUUUAAUAAUUAA